rnacentral:rRNA from 1 species
GAUGAACGCUGACAGAAUGCUUAACACAUGCAAGUCUUUGGCGAAGCUGUGCUUGCACAGCCUAGCCAAGGCGGACGGGUGAGUAACGCGUAAGGAACUUGCCCUGCAGUCAGGGAUAACAGACGGAAACGACUGAUAAGGCCUGGUAAAGUCAGGCGGACUCAUGUCCAGCCUGAUGAAAAGUGAUGCUGCAGGAGAGCCUUGCGUCCUAUUAGCUUGUUGGUGGGGUAACGGCCCACCAAGGCGAUGAUAGGUAGCCGGCCUGAGAGGGUGGACGGCCACAAGGGGACUGAGAUACGGCCCUUACUCCUACGGGAGGCAGCAGUGGGGAAUAUUGGACAAUGGGGGCAACCCUGAUCCAGCAAUUCUGUGUGCACGAUGAAGGUUUUCGGAUUGUAAAGUGCUUUCAGCAGGGAAGAAAAAAAUGACGGUACCUGCAGAAGAAGCGACGGCUAAAUACGUG